UUCCUACGGGGGGCAGCAGUGGGGAAUAUUGCACAAUGGGGGAAACCCUGAUGCAGCGACGCCGCGUGAGUGAAGAAGUAUUUCGGUAUGUAAAGCUCUAUCAGCAGGGAAGAAAAAAGACGGUAUCUUACGAGAAAGCCACGGCUAACUACGUGCCAGCAGCCGCGGUAAUACGUAGGUGGCGAGCGUUAUCCGGAAUGAUUGGGCGUAAAGGGUGCGCAGGCGGAAUAACAAGUCUGAAGUAAAAGGCAUUGGCUUAACCAAUGUAUGCUAUGGAAACUGUUAAACUAGAGUGCAGGAGAGGG
rnacentral:rRNA from 1 species